rnacentral:rRNA from 1 species
AUUGAACGCUGGCGGCAGGCCUAACACAUGCAAGUCGAGCGGAUGAAGGGAGCUUGCUCCUGGAUUCAGCGGCGGACGGGUGAGUAAUGCCUAGGAAUCUGCCUGGUAGUGGGGGAUAACGUCCGGAAACGGGCGCUAAUACCGCAUACGUCCUGAGGGAGAAAGUGGGGGAUCUUCGGACCCAAGCUAUUAGAUGAGCCUAGGUCGGAUUAGCUAGUUGGUGGGGUAAAGGCCUACCAAGGCGACGAUCCGUAACUGGUCUGAGAGGAUGAUCAGUCACACUGGAACUGAGACACGGUCCAGACUCCUACGGGAGGCAGCAGUGGGGAAUAUUGGACAAUGGGCGAAAGCCUGAUCCAGCCAUGCCGCGUGUGUGAAGAAGGUCUUCGGAUUGUAAAGCACUUUAAGUUGGGAGGAAGGGCAGUAAGUUAAUACCUUGCUGUUUUGACGUUACCAACAGAAUAAGCACCGGCUAACUUCGUG